rfam:Ahrensia sp. R2A130 contig00022, whole genome shotgun sequence.
GAUCAAGUGUCUUAAGGGCGUUUGGUGGAUGCCUUGGUAUGCACAGGCGAUGAAGGACGUGAUACGCUGCGAUAAGCGUCGGGGAGCUGCGAAUAAGCUUUGAUCCGGCGAUUUCCGAAUGGGGAAACCCACUUCAGAGACCGUUAUUUUGACCAUUUCAGGCGCAAGCUCGAAGUGGUCGAAUUAACGGUUUCAAUGAGAAGUAUCUACACAUGAAUACAUAGUGUGUAAGAAGCGAACGCGGGGAACUGAAACAUCUAAGUACCCGUAGGAAAAUACAUCAACCGAGAUUCUGUUAGUAGCGGCGAGCGAACGCGGAUCAGGCCAGUGGCAAUUUGAAGACAAGCGGAAUGUUCUGGAAAGGACAGCCAUAGUGGGUGAUAGCCCCGUACGUGUAAUUCUUCUUUUUGUCCUUGAGUAGGGCGGGACACGUGAAAUCCUGUCUGAACAUGGGGGGACCACCCUCCAAGCCUAAAUACUCGUGCAUGACCGAUAGUGAACAAGUACCGUGAGGGAAAGGUGAAAAGCACCCCGACAAGGGGAGUGAAAUAGUCCCUGAAACCGAAUGCCUACAAACAGUCGGAGCCCUUUAUGGGUGACGGCGUACCUUUUGUAUAAUGGGUCAACGACUUAGUCUAACAAGCAAGCUUAAGCCGAUAGGUGUAGGCGUAGCGAAAGCGAGUGUGAAUAGCGCGUUUAGUUUGUUGGAUUAGACCCGAAACCUAGUGAUCUAUCCAUGGGCAGGUUGAAGGUGCAGUAACAUGCACUGGAGGACCGAACCCACGCAUGUUGCAAUAUGCGGGGAUGACUUGUGGAUAGGGGUGAAAGGCCAAUCAAACUAGGAAAUAGCUGGUUCUCCGCGAAAUCUAUUUAGGUAGAGCGUCGAAUGAAUACCCUCGGGGGUAAAGCACUGGAUGGGCUAUGGGGGCUUACCGCCUUACUGAUCCUAACCAAACUCUGAAUACCGAGGAGUACUAUUCGGCAGACACACUACGGGUGCUAACGUCCGUAGUGGAGAGGGAAACAACCCUGACCGCCAAUUAAGGUCCCCAAGUUAUGGCUAAGUGGGAAAGGAAGUGAAGUUCCCAAAACAACCAGGAUGUUGGCUUAGAAGCAGCCAUCAUUUAAAGAAAGCGUAACAGCUCACUGGUCUAAAUAAGGAACUUUGCGCCGAAAAUGUAUCGGGUCUAAAGCCAUACACCGAAAUUGCGGGUGCAUAUUUAUAUGCGCGGUAGCGGAGCGUUCUGUAAGCCUGUGAAGGGAUACCUGUGAGGGGUCCUGGAGGUAUCAGAAGUGCGAAUGUUGACAUGAGUAACGAUAAAAGGGGUGAGAGACCCCUUCGCCGAAAGUCCAAGGUUUCCUGCUUAAAGUUAAUCUGAGCAGGGUUAGUCGGCCCCUAAGGCGAGGCAGAAAUGCGUAGUCGAUGGGAAACGGGUUAAUAUUCCCGUACCUGGUGGUAGUGACGGAUCGCGUAAGUGGUUCACUCUUAUUGGAUUGAGUGGGCAGCGAAGCGGUUCCAGGAAAUAGCUCCACCGUAUAGACCGUACCCCAAACCGACACAGGUGGACAGGUAGAGAAUACUAAGGCGCUUGAGAGAACUAUGCUGAAGGAACUCGGCAAAUUGCAUGCGUAACUUCGGGAUAAGCAUGACCAUGUUGGACGCAAGUCUUUCAUGGUGGCACAAAAUUGGGGGUAGCGACUGUUUAUCAAAAACACAGGGCUCUGCGAAGUCGCAAGACGACGUAUAGGGUCUGACGCCUGCCCGGUGCUGGAAGGUUAAAAGGAGAGGUGCAAGCCUUGAAUUGAAGCCCCAGUAAACGGCGGCCGUAACUAUAACGGUCCUAAGGUAGCGAAAUUCCUUGUCGGGUAAGUUCCGACCUGCACGAAUGGCGUAACGACUUCCCCGCUGUCUCCAGCAUAGACUCAGUGAAAUUGAAUUCCCCGUGAAGAUGCGGGGUUCCUGCGGUUAGACGGAAAGACCCCGUGCACCUUUACUACAGCUUCACACUGAUAUUAGUGAUAAUAUGUGUAGGAUAGGUGGUAGGCUUUGAAGCGUGGUCGCUAGAUCGCGUGGAGCCAUCCUUGAAAUACCACCCUUAUUAUUAUUGAUAUCUAACCGCGACCCCUUAUCGGGGCCCGGGACAUUGUGUGGCGGGUAGUUUGACUGGGGCGGUCGCCUCCCAAAGAGUAACGGAGGCGCGCGAUGGUUGGCUCAGUCCGGUCGGAAAUCGGACGUUGAGUGCAAUGGCAUAAGCCAGCCUGACUGCGAGACUGACAAGUCGAGCAGAGACGAAAGUCGGUCAUAGUGAUCCGGUGGUCCCGAGUGGAAGGGCCAUCGCUCAACGGAUAAAAGGUACGCCGGGGAUAACAGGCUGAUGACCCCCAAGAGUCCAUAUCGACGGGGUUGUUUGGCACCUCGAUGUCGGCUCAUCGCAUCCUGGGGCUGGAGCAGGUCCCAAGGGUUUGGCUGUUCGCCAAUUAAAGCGGUACGUGAGCUGGGUUCAGAACGUCGUGAGACAGUUCGGUCCCUAUCUGCCGUGGGUGUAGGAAUAUUGAGAGGAUCUGUCCCUAGUACGAGAGGACCGGGAUGGACAUAUCACUGGUGGACCUGUUGUGGCGCCAGCCGCAUUGCAGGGUAGCUAUAUAUGGAAUAGAUAACCGCUGAAGGCAUCUAAGCGGGAAACUAACCUCGAAACGAGUAUUCCCUUGUAGAGUCGUCGAAGACUACGACGUUGAUAGGCUGGGUGUGGAAGUGCCGUAAGGUAUGAAGCUUACCAGUACUAAUAGCUCGAUUGGCUUGAUCGU